rnacentral:sRNA from 1 species
UUCUCUCUCUCUCUCUUC